AGUAACAUUGGGGGAAGAUUGAAAAAACAUAACAAGUUCGUCCUUCUCCAAUGUAUGCUAU
rnacentral:pre_miRNA from 2 species